rnacentral:rRNA from 1 species
GACUAGAACUGCCCAAAAUCAGGGGGGCUAUUACAUGGCAAGGUCGGAACGGCAGCGCGGGGCAACCUGGCGGCGAGUGGCGAACGGGUGAGUAAUAUAUCGGAACGUACCCAAGAGUGGGGGAUAACGUAGCGAAAGUUACGCUAAUACCGCAUACGAUCUAAGGAUGAAAGCAGGGGAUCUUCGGACCUUGUGCUCCUGGAGCGGCCGAUAUCUGAUUAGCUAGUUGGUGAGGUAAAGGCUCACCAAGGCCACGAUCAGUAGCUGGUCUGAGAGGACGACCAGCCACACUGGAACUGAGACACGGUCCAGACUCCUACGGGAGGCAGCAGUGGGGAAUUUUGGACAAUGGGCGAAAGCCUGAUCCAGCAAUGCCGCGUGAGUGAAGAAGGCCUUCGGGUUGUAAAGCUCUUUUGUCAGGGAAGAAACGGUCUGGGCUAAUACCCUGGGCUAAUGACGGUACCUGAAGAAUAAGCACCGGCUAACUACGUGCCAGCAGCCGCGGUAAUACGUAGGGUGCAAGCGUUAAUCGGAAUUACUGGGCGUAAAGCGUGCGCAGGCGGUUUUGUAAGUCUGACGUGAAAUCCCCGGGCUCAACCUGGGAAUUGCGUUGGAGACUGCAAGGCUAGAAUCUGGCAGAGGGGGGUAGAAUUCCACGUGUAGCAGUGAAAUGCGUAGAGAUGUGGAGGAACACCGAUGGCGAAGGCAGCCCCCUGGGUCAAGAUUGACGCUCAUGCACGAAAGCGUGGGGAGCAAACAGGAUUAGAUACCCUGGUAGUCCACGCCCUAAACGAUGUCUACUAGUUGUCGGGUUUUAAUUAACUUGGUAACGCAGCUAACGCGUGAAGUAGACCGCCUGGGGAGUACGGUCGCAAGAUUAAAACUCAAAGGAAUUGACGGGGACCCGCACAAGCGGUGGAUGAUGUGGAUUAAUUUCGAUGCAACGCGAAAAACCUUACCUACCCUUGACAUGUACGGGAAGGCCGAAGAGAUUUGGCUGUGCUCGAAAGAGAACCCGUUAACACAAGGUGCUGCAUGGGCUGUUCGUUCAGCUCGUGUCGUGAGAUGGUUUGGGGUUAGUCCCGCAACGAGCGCAAUCCCUUUGUCAAUAGUUGCCUACAUUUCCAGUUGAAGCCACUCCUAAAUGAAAACUGGCCGGGGGUGGAAACA